UACGGGAGGCAGCAGUGGGGAAUAUUGCACAAUGGGCGAAAGCCUGAUGCAGCUAUGCCGCGUGUAUGAAGAAGGCCUUAGGGUUGUAAAGUACUUUCAUCGGGGAGGAAAAAACAAAACUAAUAAUUUUAUUUCUUGACGUUACCCGAAAAAGAAGCACCGGCUAACUCCGUGCCAGCAGCCGCGGUAAUACGGAGGGUGCUAGCGUUAAUCAGAAUUACUGGGCGUAAAGAGCACGUAGGUGGUUUUUUUAAGUCAGAUGUGAAAUCCCUGGGCUUAACCUAGGAACUGCAUUUUGAAACUGAAAUACUAGAGUAUCGUAGAGGGAGGUAGAAUUCUAGGUGUAGCGGUGAAAUGCGUAGAUAUCUGGAGGAAUACCUGUGGCGAAAGCGGCCUCCUAAACGAAUACUGACACUGAGGUGCGAAAGCUGGGGAGCAAACAGGGAUUAGAUACC
rnacentral:rRNA from 1 species